rnacentral:rRNA from 1 species
UACAGAGGUCUCAAGCGUUGUUCGGAUUCAUUGGGCGUAAAGGGUGUGUAGGUGGCGCGCUAAGUCGGGGUGUGAAAUUUCGGAGCUUAACUCCGAAACUGCAUUCGAUACUGGCGUGCUUGAGGACUGGAGAGGAGACUGGAAUUUACGGUGUAGCAGUGAAAUGCGUAGAUAUCGUAAGGAAGACCAGUGGCGAAGGCGGGUCUCUGGACAGUUCCUGACACUGAGACACGAAGGCCAGGGGAGCAAACGGGG